ACAGAUAUUCACACAGAAACCCUAACUGGCAGGGCACCAUCAGGUCUCUCGGUUGUAACAUUUCAUCACAAGAGCACAUCUUCAUCAUAAGCUUUUCACUCUCGCUUGAGAAUUUUUAAGCCCCAGCGACUAUAUCCUGCACUUAUGUAUGGGCUACCUGGCAAGGACUUUUGUAUGUACUAAACUCUUUAGUUAGAACUUGUGUGUGCAAUAAACAUUGGUCUCAAGCUUUGGAAUGGUUGUUGAAUUUUAUAAUGUGUUGUUGCGUCUUUGCCUGCCCAUAAAAUAAAUGUUGUCUGGUGUAUUUACGUAUCUAUUGGUUGAGCUCUUGAUACUGCUGAAAUGCUUGUCCAAUUCUUCAUACAUUUUUACAUUGGUAUUCCUUUGGUGAAAAUUUCUUUAGAGUUGAUUUUUCAGGGAAUGUGGAUUCCAAAAACAAGAUAUCACUGCACUGUGAAUUGAACUGACAUCUAACCCUUUUUAUAAUGCUUUGUUUUUUGUCUUGUGUGUUUUAUUUACAUUGUCUCCCUUUUAAUGCUUUGUUUUUUAUGAGGUAUAGGAGUUUGCUAUGAUCUGUGUUUAUAUUUGUUUUUACAUCUUAUUCAGUUGAUUUGUUUCACUUUUGAGGCCAUUGGAGAGGAUUAUUCUGUUGAACCCGCUGAUACCAGGAGACCAUUCCGUGCUCUCGUUGAUAUUGGUCUUAUCAGGACUACAAUGGGAAAUCGUGUCUUUGGUUCCCUUAAGUAAAGAGAACGAAGAUCUUUCAGCAAAGGCAAAGGCAAAGUUCAGCAUAUCUUUCAGCAAAGGCCUAGUUAUGAAGUAGCCACACCAUUAUGUAUAUACUUUUUUUUUGCAUUUUUCUAGGUAAUAAUCAUGAUUAGGCCGUAUUAGUAAAAUUAUAUAUAGUUCAAUUUUGAUGAGUUGAAAUUGAUUCUUUCUAGACUUUAGCUUUUUUGCUUUUAAAUCCUGUCAUGUAUUAAUCAUUCUUGUAAUGUUGUACAGAGUAUCUGUUCCUCAUUAUUAGAAACAUGGUUGGUUAUUAAUUGAAAUUAAUC